GGGGGAUUGGCGCAAUGGUAGCGCGUGGCUCUCCUAAAGCCAAGGCUGUGGGUUCGAGUGUUCGUUUUAUCCUGCUCUCAUUCCCGUAUAUUCAUCU
rnacentral:tRNA from 1 species